UCCUAUGAUGGCAUGAAAUCUUUGAGACCUGAUUGUCUAACUUGAUGACAACCAUAAGCAUAAUCGCUGAGGAU
rfam:Glycine soja cultivar W05 scaffold1324_31, whole genome shotgun sequence.